GGAAGAAGGGUUCAGCUGGAGAGAGGAAGGGGGAACAGACGUUUUUCUUUUUCAGACUGCAAAAUAACUCCAUCGAUGUGCCAAUCUUCAAGCAAAACUGCAUGCAUACAUUAUAUGUAUGAGAACAAUAUUGAGUACUCAGAUUAUCAAAGAAGCAAAAUUGUAGCAUAGCUAGCAAGAACUAAAUACUACCAGUUUAGAUUAUCCUAGAAACAAUAUCAAUCUCUCCCAAUUCCUCCCUAUUAAUGGGUGUGGUAAAAUGCUUUCUGAACACAUUACCACCCAAGCAUUACCCCAAAGACUACAAAUUUUCCCUCAAAAAUAAUGUUAAAAAUGCAGAAGCCAACAUAGCCACUGAAUCUAUCAUUAGAUUAUACAAGGGAAAAACCUGUUAUUGGAAUGCCCAGCCAUAAAGUAGAAAAUCAAGUGAUCUCAAAAAACAUUCUCAUCAACCAAAAACUUUCAAGUUCUUAAACAUAUAUAAUCCUUAAUAGAUCUAGCAGGUCCAAAUUUAAGAGUGAAAUUUCAAGACAUUCUUUCGAGAAUCCCAGGAGUAACUUCUUGACAAAACAUCAAACAGAAUAAAUCAAAUUCUUAAGCUCUGGCGGCAGCACCAAUCCCUGCAGGACGAAUUCCUUGACCAGGCUGACCAGGCUGUCCAGGCUUUGGCAAGUCAUCCUGAGAAAUCGCAACCACAAAAGCAGGAAACAAAAUCUUAAAAUAAUGCAUGGAAACAGCCACAACACAAACCCAUGUAGACCAAGGACGUCAAACAUGGUUCAACAUAGAACAAGAAAAACUACAACCUUAGAAUACUCAACAGUAUAUAUCAAGGAAUUACAAACCAAGGAAAAGGAACACGGAGACAGAGCAGGACAUAAAUCAGCUAAAAGAUAUGAUUAUUCAUGGAUAAAUAUCUGAAUCCUAUAAUCAAAUGAAAUAGGCACUAGGCAAUCAAUUGUCCCAUAAGUAGAUAGCUAUUGCAUUCAGCUAUACAUCAGAAUGUAAUAGAAAUCAGAGGCAACCAGUGAAUACACUUGUAACUUUCAGGUUAAAAUAAGUCCAAGGAUUAACUUUAUUGUCCAAUUUUGAGAUUCAACAGAAAACUGGUAGCAUCAGAAAGCAACCAAGACAGUAAUAAAGCAAGGACCUAAGAAUGGAAGACAAUGGUUAAUCCCACAACAAUAACAGCACUUGACACGCUAUACUACAAACUUCACCGUAAAUUAGGUUAGAUUGAAGGAAGAAAACAAAAAUAUAAACAGAAAAGAAAACGAAAAAAUUAGUACCCUGCGCCUGAGGAAGCGCUGUGGUGGCUCACGGUUCCUGCGCUCAGAGCGAGAGCGAACCCUCACAACUCUGGAGUGAAUGGCACAUGAAACACAGUACUGCAUCUUCACAUACAGCUUGGGAAGUACAUAUCCAUCAUAAACGCAGGAAUCCUGAACGUCCCUCACAGCAGCUUGCUCGACGAUGUUUCUCACAAGAAAUCUCUUGAUUGCUUUAUCCUUUAGGUGUUAUCAAAAAUUCAAAAGCCAGACAUAAAUCACAAAUUUGAAACAAAAUCAAAUUAAUGUCUAGAUGAAGGAUUUAGAUAACAGUGAAUACCUUGGGGCAGCACUUGCCGCAGUUGGAACAGCGGAUGAACUUGACGUGUCCUCGGCCGUGCUUGUUACGGCCGCCAUUCCUACGCUUGAAUGUCAUGGCUGUCGGUGGUUGAGAUGGUGGUGUUUCCCAGAAGAGAAUUGAAGGAUCUGAGCGGGCUGCUGCUAGGGUUUUUCCAAUGGAUGAGAGAAUGGCUUAGGAGACUUUUAUAGGGC
rnacentral:misc_RNA from 1 species